CUCCCGAAGUUUCCCUCAGGAUAGCUGGCGCAAUCCAUAUUUUAUAAAAUAAUCUUAUCUGGUAAAGCGAAUGAUUAGAGGCAUUAGGGUCGAAACGAUCUUAACCUAUUCUCAAACUUUAAAUGGGUAAGAACCUUAUCUUUCUUGAUAUGAAGAUAUAGGUUAUGAUAUAUUGUGCCCAGUGGGCCACUUUUGGUAAGCAGAACUGGCGCUGUGGGAUGAACCAAACGUAAUGUUAAGGCGCCUAAAUUAACAACUCAUACUGAUACCAUGAAAGGCGUUGCUUGCUUAAAACAGUAGGGCGGUGGCCAUGGAAGUCGUAAUCCGCUAAGGAGUGUGUAACAACUCACCUGCCGAAGCAACUAGCCCUUAAAAUGGAUGGCGCUCAAGUUGUAUGCCUAUACAUUACCGCUAAAAUAUAUGAUUUUUAAUUAUAUAUAUAUAAUUAUAAAUUUUGAAAUUUUAUUGAUUAGGAGGGUGGAAUGGUGAGCGUAAAAUUGUUUGGCGUAAGCAAGCAUGGAGCCGCCAUUGGCACAGAUCUUGGUGGUAGUAGCAAAUAAUCGAAUGAGAUCUUGGAGGACUGAAGUGGAGAAGGGUUUCGUGUGAACAGUGGUUGAUCACGAGUUAGUCGGUCCUAAGUUCAAGGCGAAAGCCGAAAAAUGUUAAAGUAUAUUAUUAAUUAAAUUAUAAUACUUUAUAAUUUUUAAUGAACGAAAGGGAAUACGGUUCCAAUUCCGUAACCUGUUGAGUAUACGUUUGUAAUUAAAAAUGGGCUUUAAUGCUCAUCCUGGUAACAGAAACAACCAUAAAAAAGCUGUCGAGAGAUAUCGAAAGAGUUUUCUUUUCUGUUUUAUAGUCGUAUUACCAUGGAAGUCUUUCGAAGAGAGAUAUGGUAAAUGGACUAGAAGAGCAUGGCAUUUACUGCUGUGUCGAUAUUUUCUCUUCGGACCUUGAAAAUUUAUGGUAGGGUCACGCAAAUUUCUUAACAGGCCGUACCGAUAUCCGCAGCUGGUCUCCAAGGUGAAGAGUCUCUAGUCAAUAGAAUAAUGUAGGUAAGGGAAGUCGGCAAAUUAGAUCCGUAACUUCGGGAUAAGGAUUGGCUCUGAAGAUUGAGAUAAUCGGGCUUGAUUGGGAAGUAAUAAUAUGGUUUAUGUACUCGUUCUGGGUAAAUUAGAAUGAAAUUUAUAUUUUAAUUAAAAAGAUGUAAAUGGAAUUUGUUCCCCGGAUAGUAGUUUUAUGUAACCAAUUGCGGAACUUUCUUGCUAAUAAUAUAUUAGAAAUAAAAAAUUUUUAAUUUUUUAUUUUUAUAUAUUUAUAACGGUUAUCAAUUAACAAUCAAUUCAGAACUGGCACGGACUUGGGGAAUCCGACUGUCUAAUUAAAACAAAGCAUUGUGAUGGCCCUAACGGGUGUUGACACAAUGUGAUUUCUGCCCAGUGCUCUGAAUGUCAAAGUGAAGAAAUUCAAGUAAGCGCGGGUAAACGGCGGGAGUAACUAUGACUCUCUUAAGGUAGCCAAAUGCCUCGUCAUCUAAUUAGUGACGCGCAUGAAUGGAUUAACGAGAUCCUACUGUCCCUAUCUACUAUCCAGCGAAACUGUGGGGAAAGAAGACCUGUUGAGCUUGACUCUAGUCUGACUGUGUAAGGAGACAUAAGAGGUGUAGCAUAAGUGGGAGAUAUUAAAUUUUUUUUUUAAAUAAUUUUUUAUCAAAAAUGAAAUACCACUACUCUUAUUGUUUCCUUACUUACUUGAUAAAGUGGAACGUGUAUCAUUUACUUAGCCAUUAUAUGAAUAUUAAUUUAUAUUUUUUAUAUAUUUUAUGUUUUAUGGUAUUUGGUUUUGAUUCAAGCUUCUUGAUAAAAAUACAAAGAGUUUGUUAUAUACACCAAACAAAUUUUCAAUGAAUUUUUAUAUAUUAAUUAAUUUUAUUUAAAUAAAGUAAUUGGAUUUGGUAUAACUCUUAUACUCCUGUAUGAUCCAUUUCAAGGACAUAGUUAGGUCGAGAGUUUGGCUGGGGCGGUACAUCUCUCAAAUAAUAACGGAGGUGUCCCAAGGCCAGCUCAGUGCGGACAGAAACCACACAUAGAGCAAAAGGGCAAAUGCUGACUUGAUCUCGGUAUUCAGUACAUACAGAGACAGCAAAAGCUCGGCCUAUCGAUCCUUUUGGUUUAAAGAGUUUUUAACAAGAGGUGUCAGAAAAGUUACCACAGGGAUAACUGGCUUGUGGCGGCCAGCCCCUCUAAGGUCGUAUCCGUGCUGGACUGCAAUGAUAGUAAUGGGGCCAUUGUAUUGCGUGGCAAUAAAUUAUUUAAAGUUUAUAAAAUUAUUUAUAAUUUUUAUAAACGGCAAUGGACACAAUGAAGCCAAUAUAUAAUAAAUAGUUUAUAUGAGUAGUAUUUAAAAGCACUCAUAAAUAAACUUUGUUAUGUAAAUAACUAUUAUAUAAGCGUAAUGUCAAUGCCCAGAAUCAAUUGUAAACGACUUUGGUAACAGGCAAGGUGUUGUGAGUGGUAGAGCAGCUGCCAUACUGCGAUCCACUGAAGCUUAUCCUUUG
rnacentral:rRNA from 1 species